rnacentral:rRNA from 1 species
GAUGAACGCUGGCGGCGUGCCUAAUACAUGCAAGUCGAACGAGGUGCUUUUGUGGCAAUACGAGAGUAUCCUAGUGGCGAACGGGUGAGUAACGCGUUGGUGACCUACCCCAAAGUGUGGGAUAACAGUCCGAAAGGAUUGCUAAUACCGCAUGUGGUCUUCGGAUUUAGAAACUGAUGACUAAAGGAGCAAUUCGCUUUGGGAGGGACCUGCGUCCCAUCAGCUAGUUGGUGAGGUAAUGGCUCACCAAGGCUACGACGGGUAGGGGACCUGAGAGGGUGACCCCCCCACAAUGGAACUGAAACACGGUCCAUACACCUACGGGUGGCAGCAGUAGGGAAUAUUGCACAAUGGGCGAAAGCCUGAUGCAGCAACGCCGCGUGUGCGAUGAAGGCCUUCGGGUCGUAAAGCACUUUUCUGGGAGAUGAGCAAGGACAGUAUCUCAGGAAUAAGUCUCGGCUAACUACGUGCCAGCAGCCGCGGUAAU